GCCCUAUCACAUUGAAACACUUGUUCUCAUACGAUCACCAAAGUUAAGCAACAUUGAUUCUGACCAGUCCCUAGGUGGGUGACUGCUUGGGAAUACCAUCUACUGUAA